GGGUGUGUAAGCGCAGCGAUGCGUUGAGCUAACCGGUCCUAAUGAACCGUGGGGCUUAACCUUGCACCGCCGAAGC
rnacentral:rRNA from 1 species